AGAUAUGCCUUCUGCUCAGACCAGGGACAGCUGUGUGGUCAGACCAGACUGCUACAGCUUGAUGUAGUUAGAUCUUGAAGCUGUCCAAGGAUGGUGACUAUGCAACUGCUCUGAUUCUUUGCUGUCUUUGUGGUGUGAGAAGAUUGUUAUCAGAUGAAGAUUCUCCUAGUUUGAAGAAAGUUCAGCAUGAUGUACUGUGCGCAGCAUAGCAUUGACCAAGUUGCUUUCUGUUGAGGAUAUUUUAUUUGAUGCCAACAGGAAGAGGUCUGUAACAAGAUACUUUCUUACAACUGAAAAUGAGAAUUCUGGAUUAUUUUACACAUCUAGCUAAGCUUGGGCUGUGAUGGUUGUCAAUAUCCAAGUAUCUCAGAAUCUUUCUAACUUUGUCUCCCCGAGUUGCUCUGACAGCAAUAUUUUUGCUUCAGCUCAGCCUUGCUGCAUUUGAGCGUGCAGAAAAUGCUGUAACGUAACUUUAGGGUCAGUGACUUUUAGAUAAUGAUGAUUUCAGAGCUCAGCUUAUUGGGAGCUACAGUUUUGUGCCCAAUCAUGUUAGGGAUAGCUUAUUGUCAAAAUAAUGUUUAGGUGUUAGAAAUGUUGAGUUAAGACAUGGGCUACUCUAAACCACCUGAAAAGGUAGGGGGGAACAAAUACUCAUGUGUUGGAGUUUAUGCAGGUUCUUUGCACUAGAACAGAGUAUAUUCUAUCAAAGGGAAGAGUAGAGAAAAAAGUUCUCCUUGCUUGUGCACAUGCCUGUAGCCAUACUCUAAGUCGUGGAGAGCAGAACUAUUGAGAAUAGGGGGAGUAAGCAGGUGGUUAGUGAUGGAUCACAAGGUUAACUAACAUUUAAAAAGUAGGAAAAAAUCUGUUUUUCUUCCACAAGGAAUUGAGGCAGCCAGGGUAAAUGGAGUAGUGAAUCUAUCGGGGCACAUAAGAAGAUGGAGGGAAUAAUAUCAUAUG
rnacentral:lncRNA from 7 species